GCCUGCGGCCACACCACUUUGAAUAAGCCUGAUCUCGUCUGAUCUCAGAAGUGAAACAAUGUAUGGCUUGGUUAGUUCUUGGAUGGGAGACCGUCUGGGAAUAUCAAGUGCUGUAGGCAUU
rnacentral:rRNA from 1 species